rnacentral:rRNA from 1 species
UUGACCUCGGAUUAGGUAGG